rnacentral:rRNA from 1 species
UACGUAGGGUGCAAGCGUUGUCCGGAAUUAUUGGGCGUAAAGAACUCGUAGGUGGCCUGUCGCGUCGGCUGUGAAAACUCGGGGCUCAACUCCGAGCUUGCAGUCGAUACGGGCAGGCUAGAGUUCGGCAGGGGAGACUGGAAUUCCUGGUGUAGCGGUGAAAUGCGCAGAUAUCAGGAGGAACACCGGUGGCGAAGGCGGGUCUCUGGGCCGAUACUGACACUGAGGAGCGAAAGCGUGGGGAGCGAACAGG